GCAUAUAUACUCGGGUCCAUACAACCCUAAGUCAUUGGCGAACUAAAGUUUCUCCGAGUUUUGAAAUCUUUACUGUUGGCAGACUGCAUACUGAGAUAAUUAUAUUCCCUUCCCAAAAAUGGAUUUUCGUCUGAAUGUUUGUCUUUUGUUGAUACUUUUUGUGGCAUUUUCUGACGUUGAUGGCCGUAAAUUUGCCGAAGAUAAAGCGAAUGAUCCUAUUUGUGGUGAUUUUGGUAGUCGAUGUGUUCCGUUUGAAGGAUAUUGCCACCCAAACGAAUAUGGUUGUGACUUUUUUUGCACACCGGGAAACAAAUGCUGCUGCCCGUUCUGAGGUGGAAAAUGAAACCGGAUUCGUCUCUAGAAUAGAAAGAAGUUGUUGAAUGUAAUGCAUCCAAUUUACUUUGAUUAAUUAAAGGGGUUGAUAAAAAA